CCCCAAACCCAUCCCUUUUCCAUCGGGAGCACCACAGGGAAGCCACCAUGAGGGACAAAUUCCAUUUUCCUGGGCAGAGAAUUCUCCCUGUGUAGAAUUGCAGGGCCCUGCACGGUGUUAUCAGGGCACAUUAUCCCUGUGGGAAGGCUGGAAUUAUUUUUGUCAGGUUGUUCCAAGCUGUUCAUUACCUGGGAGAGAAUUUGAGGGAAGGUUUCUGCUGCUGCUGAGGAGAGCUCUGGAUUUAUGGAUCGAGCCUUUCAUUGGCCUCCUCACCACGAAUUGGAGUCUUCAAAGCACUUCAAAGGCCAGGAAAAGGAUGAAAUCCUUCACCCCAAAGCCUUCCCAAAGAGAAGGAACAUUUCCAUUCCUCAGCAGAGGUUUCCACCUGCUCUCCAGCUGCCUCCAGAGGUGUUUUGUUUUCAGGGAGGGUGGAGGAUGCAGGAAUAUUCAGCGAGGGAUUGAUCCAGAGGAGGUGUCAGCAGAGGAAUUUAUAUCUGGAAUGUCCUGCUGGGGUGGUUAUUCCAACCUGGAGCCGUGAGGAUGUGCAGGAAUUCCAGCAGUGAGGAGAUGUUUGGUGGGAAGCAGCCCCAGGGAUGCUGGGGAAGA